UACGUAGGGGGCGAGCGUUAUCCAGAUUUACUGGGCGUAAAGCGCGUGUAGGCGGCUGGUUAGGUGUGAUGUGAAAUCCUCGGGCUCAACCCGAGAACUGCAUUGCAAACCGGCCUGGCUAGAGUGCAGGAGAGGGAAGCGGAAUUCCAGGUGUAGCGGUGAAAUGCGUAGAUAUCUGGAGGAACACCGGUGGCGAAGGCGGCAUCCUGGACCGAGAUUGACGCUGAUGCGCGAAAGCCAGGGGAGCAAACGGG
rnacentral:rRNA from 1 species